AUUCAAUUAGUUUAAUUAAAAAAUUUUGGUUUGUGGAUCCAAAGAUCUUUUUGGGGUUGAGUU
rnacentral:tRNA from 1 species